rnacentral:rRNA from 1 species
AUUGAACGCUGGCGGCAGGCCUAACACAUGCAAGUCGAACGAGUGGCGGACGGGUGAGUAAUGUCUGGGACACUGCCUGAUGGCGGGGGAAACCUACUGGAAACGGUAGCUAAUACCGCAUACCAUCAGAUGUGCCCAGGUGGGAUUAGCGUGUUGGUGGGGUAACGGCUCACCAAGGCGACGAUCCCUAGCUGGUCUGCGAGGAUGAUCAGACACACUGGAACUGAGACACGGUCCAGACGCCUACGGGAGGCAGCAGUGGGGAAUAUUGCACAAUGGGCGAAAGCCUGAUGGAGCCAUGCCGCGUGUAUGAAGAAGGCCUUCGGGUUGUAAAGUACUUUCAGCGGGGAGGCGUUACCCGCAGAAGAAGCACCGGCUAACUCCGUGCCAGCCGCCGCGGUAAUAC